GGCGAUGCCAGAGAAGACGAUGGCGGCGAUGGCGUGGUCGCGGGAACGGCCGUGGGACAGGAACUGCAAGGGUUUAAAACAUGUCUCUGGGGUCUGGCAGACUUAUAUUUAAAAUCCAGCACUGCCACAUUUGCAGACGUAUCCAGAGUUUCCUCCCUCUGGUGGGUUCACGGUCUCGCUGACUCCAGGAGUGAAUCUGCAGAUCUUCACUAUGAUUGUUACAGUUCAUAAAAGCAAUGCAUCCGGAGUUGUUUGUUCCUCCUGGUGGGUUCCUGGUCUUGCUGACUUCAAGAGUGAAGCUGCAGACCUUCUUGAACCCAGAACAGCAAGAUUUUAGGAAUUAUUGGAAAAGCAUUUUUUGAACUGUGUGUUCAUCUUAAAAGCCAAAUUCUCCCUCCCUUCAAAGGACAGCAUGAGGUAUAAUGAAGAAUCUUGAGGUCCUCCUGGAUUACCAAAGUGGGCCCUAAAUCCAGUGGCAGAAGACACAGACACAGAGAGGAGACCAGGUGAAGACAAAAGAAGAGGCUGGAGUGAUGCAACCAUCAGAGAGUGAAAAUACUCAGUUACCUCCUGGUUUAUGAGGCAAUGAAGUAUUCCAGCACAUAAAUAUUGACGCUGAGACCCAUGGGAUGUAGGAGUGCUGAGCACAUUUGCAAGACAUAAAGACCGAAGGUACCUUGUACAAGUGGAAUCAUUACAAUAUUUAUGCUUCUGUGUCUGGCUUAAUAGCCACAUUUUUUCACAAUAGCUGAAAGAUAUUCAUCAACAGAUGAAUGGAGAAACAAAAAUGUGGAAUACGCACACAAUGGAAUAUUAUUCAAAGGGAAUUAAUUCUGAUACAUGCUGCGCAUGAAUGAAACUAGAACACAAAGCCUCUACUUUCAAGACCAUUGUCUCACCAAAGGGGUCAAGAAAACCAACUCUGAGACUCAAAGGAGAUCAGUGGCCUCAUUGUUUACUCUUUCUUUCACUGGGACAAAUAAAACUUAAUGACUUAAAUUCAGAGAGUGAAGAAAAUCAAUAUGGUGCAUUUUAAUAUUUAUAAAAUAUUAUUUUUAUUGCCUCAAUUUAAUUCAUUAGAUAAGCAGAGUUUUAAAAUGGAUGCUAACGAAACCUCUUACAGAGUGCAUUAAAAAGUGUGUGUGUUGGCCAGGCAUGGUGGCUCAUGCUUGUAAUACCAGCACUUUGGGAGGCUGAGGCAGGAGGAUUGCUGAAGUCCAGGAGUUUAAGACCAGCCUGAGCAACAAAGUGAGACCCCAUCUCUACUUUAAAAAUAAAGUGUGUGUGCCAAGAAAAA
ensembl:lncRNA LINC01320 long intergenic non-protein coding RNA 1320